rnacentral:lncRNA from 1 species
UCCUCAAAUGGUGGAUAAUUAUCCUCAAAUGGCAGAAGCAUUAAUUUUUCAAAAAUAAGUGUAGAUUUUAUUUUUUUUAUUCUUCUCUGUUAAAUGAGUAAAAUAGCAAUACUUUAUUUAAAGAUGUCUUUUGUAAGCAAAGCAUCAUGCUUUAGAAUAAUAUGCCUGUUAAAAAUCAAUGUCUUUACCUCAACUUUUUCUCAGAGAUAUAUAACUAAAGAUGGUUAUUCAGUUUGAAAAUUGAGACUGCUGAGUAAGGGCACGGUGGCCUCUGCAUAUGUGUUUUCCCAUCCGCCUAGCAGUCUUUCUUCUUUCUGUAUUGAUUGGAUAUAAGUUGGAAGCAGUGCACUGUGUGGUAUUGUGAAGACCUCAGAUGUGAUUGUGGAAGUGGGCUCCUCAGAGUUGCCUGGCAAUAUUGGUGAAUUUACGGCUUCCUUAGUUAAAUGAUCUCUUUUCACUUUACUGUUGAUCACAAGUCAUUCUUUGAGAACAUGAAGUCUGGAUGGAAACAAGCCAUGCCCUGUAAAACAUAUGCUGAUUUUCUUAUAAUCACAUAAUUAUUGAUUUUCCUCCUAAUUUUAAUGCCUUUUAUAAUUUCUCAUGGAAUAUGUUCCCCUCAA